GGCAUGCACUGCAUCGAGGCAAUCGAAGAUUGGUCUGUGUAGUAGAUAAAUAGGCCCUGAUGUCUUCCUGUAUAAGUUUGGCUUUGGUACUUGGGUGGUUUACGCCAGAGGUCUAUGCGGCUCGAAUUAUUUUAUUUUAUUUUUUUAUUUAAAUUUUUUUUUUCUGGUUUCAUGACAUGUCAUUAUCAUGCACGGCCCUGUAAUGACGUGGAGCAGGAGUUUUAAGAUAAUGAUAGCGUUACUGAUAAAUUGGGAAUUUGUAAUAUUGACAUUAGCCCAUCUUAACAAAGACGAUGCAGAAGUGUUUACAAACGGAUCAAAUGAGUCGCUCGAAGCACAGCAGUCUUCCGCGGACGCUCACGAAGAUGACUGUGAACGAUAUCUCAACACUUCAGCGUUUUCAAGUGAUCCAGCGGACGACUCGACGAUCCAGUCCACUUCCAGAUGCCAUGCAUGUGAGGACCACAGUCUGGUCACCGGAGCGAAUACCUCGCGAAAGGACGAGUUUGAGGAGGUUCUCCGAGGACCUGUGACUUGGCGAUUCUUGAGUGAUCAACAGAAUCUGAAUGGAGUCGUGGUGUCUGAUGACUCUCAGCCGGCGUUUACAUGUGGCAAGGAACGCCUUUGGAUCAAGUUUUCCAUGACGCGGCACUCGAACCCGCGUUUGAUUAUCAAGACUGAACGGGCAGAUUCACACACACAAAAGCAGUGCCGAUGCAUCAGAAGGAAUCAUGGGCCAUCAAUGCUGCUGAGGAUCUACUUCAAAGAGUGCUAUGCUUCAAAUUGGACUCGAGACAGAAGGAUGUACUACUCUGUAGGAGUACUUUACUUUGAUCACCUUCUAAUGAAGAGAUUCUCCGGCAUUGCCACCUGUCAUGCUGCCAUCCUGCCACAUAAUGCACUUUCUACAGAAGAAUCACCUGAAGUUAUCUGUGGAAAGCCAUUUGUGAUUGUAAAAUUACCAGCCAAGAGGAUUAAAAGUGUUAAAGUUUUGGGUGAGUACUUAUUGAUGAGUUAUACCACUAAUUUUGGACUAUAGCAAUUGUAUUCUAUAUUCAUGAAGUUUCAGUAGAACAAUAUUGAACAACAGUGAUAUGUUGUUGGGCCAUAUGUCAGUAAAAACAGUUAUUCCUGUCUUGUCAGCCAUUAUACUGUGCUCGUAGCAUGUGCAGUUCAAUUGCACAUACAGUAUAAAUGGGGUGGCAUGUGCUGUGUAUUUCAUAUUAAAGCGCAAAAACUACGAGCAUGCACUGUAGUUUUGUCAGUUACGUUUCUACGGCCG
ensembl:lncRNA